rnacentral:rRNA from 1 species
AGAACGAACGCUGGCGGCAUGCCUAACACAUGCAAGUCGAACGCUUCCGGGGCUUCGGUCGCGGAGGAGUGGCGCACGGGUGAGUAGCGCGUGGGAACCUGCCCUGUUGUGGGGGAUAACCGAGGGAAACUUCGGCUAAUACCGCAUACGCCCCGGGACUUGGUCUUCGGAUUAGGUCUGGGGGGAAAGAUUGAUCGCAGCAGGAGGGGCCCGCGUCGGAUUAGCUGGUUGGUGGGGUAACGGCUCACCAAGGCGAUGAUCCGUAGCUGGUCUGAGAGGAUGAUCAGCCACACUGGGACUGAGACACGGCCCAGACUCCUACGGGAGGCAGCAGUGGGGAAUAUUGGACAAUGGGGGCAACCCUGAUCCAGCAAUGCCGCGUGAGUGAUGAAGGCCUUAGGGUUGUAAAGCUCUUUCGCCCGCGACGAUGAUGACGGUAGCGGGAGAGAAGCCCCGGCUAACUUCGUGCCAGCAGCCGCGGU